rnacentral:lncRNA from 1 species
GUAUUCCUUUCAUCACUCUCUAAACAUUUAUACGAGGUGCUCGCAACAGGAUCAACAUUUCAACAUUGGGUAAAUGAGCAGAGAAUAUGGAUGAUGAAGUCAGUCACAUCUCACUUAUAUGGUAGUGUGGAUGCUUUCAUGAAGAAACUUGGUAUGAGAGAAGCUAGUUUUCUCCCAACAAAUAAAGUCGACGACGUUGAACAACUCAAGCUUUACAAUAUGGGAGUAUUUGAUUUCCAAACAUCACUACAAUUUCUUGCUCCAAUGGUUGCCCUAGUCAUCUUGAACAUGGCUUCGUUUGCUGUGGGGAUUGCUAGAGGGAUCUUUGUGGGGGAGUUGGACAAGAUGUUCAUACAAAUCUUCAUAGCCUUUUAUGUCAUAG